rnacentral:rRNA from 1 species
AUUGAACGCUGGCGGCAGGCUUAACACAUGCAAGUCGAGCGGGGAGAUGUAGCUUGCUACAUAUCCUAGCGGCGGACGGGUGAGUAAUGCUUAGGAAUCUGCCUAUUAGUGGGGGACAACAUUCCGAAAGGAAUGCUAAUACCGCAUACGCCCUACGGGGGAAAGCAGGGGAUCUUCGGACCUUGCGCUCAUAGAUGAGCCUAAGUCGGAUUAGCUAGUUGGUGGGGUAAAGGCCUACCAAGGCGACGAUCUGUAGCGGGUCUGAGAGGAUGAUCCGCCACACUGGGAAUGAGACAAGGCCCAGACUCCUACGGGAGGCAGCAGUGGGGAAUAUUGGACAAUGGGCGCAAGCCUGAGCCAGCCAUGCCGCGUGUGUGAAGAAGGCCUUUUGGUUGUAAAGCACUUUAAGCGAGGAGGAGGCUCCUUUAGUUAAUACCUAAAGAGAGUGGACGUUACUCGCAGAAUAAGCACCGGCUAACUCUGUG